rnacentral:rRNA from 1 species
UACGGAGGGUGCAAGCGUUGUCCAGAUUUAUUGGGCUUAAAGGGUGCGUAGGCGGCCCGGUAAGUCAGUGGUGAAAGCCUCCAGCUCAACUGGAGAACUGCCAUUGAUACUGCCGGGCUUGAGUACAGACGAGGAUGGCGGAAUUGAUUGUGUAGCGGUGAAAUGCAUAGAUACAAUCAAGAACUCCGAUUGCGUAGGCAGCUAACUAGGCUGUAACUGACGCUGAGGCACGAAAGCGUGGGGAGCGAACAGG